GUGCCAGCAGCCGCGGUAAUACGAAGGGUGCUAGCGUUGUUCGGAAUCACUGGGCGUAAAGCGCACGUAGGCGGUCCGCACCAGUCAGGCGUGAAAGCCCCAGGCUCAACCUGGGAAUAGCGCUUGAUACUAGCGGGCUAGAGGCCGGGAGAGGGUAGUGGAAUUCCCAGUGUAGAGGUGAAAUUCGUAGAUAUUGGGAAGAACACCAGUGGCGAAGGCGGCUACCUGGACCGGUUCUGACGCUGAGGUGCGAAAGCGUGGGGAGCAAACAGGAUUAGAUACCCCUGUAGUCC
rnacentral:rRNA from 1 species